rnacentral:rRNA from 1 species
UACGUAGGGUGCAAGCGUUGUCCGGAAUUAUUGGGCGUAAAGAGCUCGUAGGCGGUCUGUCGCGUCGGAUGUGAAAACCCAGGGCUCAACCCUGGGCCUGCAUUCGAUACGGGCAGACUAGAGUUCGGUAGGGGAGACUGGAAUUCCUGGUGUAGCGGUGAAAUGCGCAGAUAUCAGGAGGAACACCGGUGGCGAAGGCUGGUCACUGGCCCGGUACUGACGCUGAGGUGCGAAAGCGUGGGGAGCAAACAGG